AGGCAGGUAGCCUAGUGUUUAGAGUGUAGAGGAGGCAGGUAGUCUAGUGUUUAGAGUGUAGAGGAGGCAGGUAGCCUAGUGGUUAGAGUGUAGAGGAGGCAGGUAGCCUAGUGGUUAGAGUGUAGAGGUGGCAGGGUAGCCUAGUGGUUAGAGUGUAGAGGUGGCAGGGUAGCCUAGUGGUUAGAGUGUAGAGGUGGCAGGGUAGCCUAGUGGUUAGAGUGUAGAGGUGGCAGGUAGCCUAGUGGUUAGAGUGUAGAGGAGGCAGGUAGCCUAGUGGUUAGAGUGUAGAGGAGGCAGGUAGCCUAGUGGUUAGAGUGUAGAGGAGGCAGGUAGCCUAGUGGUUAGAGUGUAGAGGCGGCAGGUAGCCUAGUGGUUAGAGUGUAGAGGAGGCAGGUAGCCUAGUGGUUAGAGUGUAGAGGAGGCAGGUAGCCUAGUGGUUAGAGUGUAGAGGAGGCAGGUAGCCUAGUGGUUAGAGUGUAGAGGCGGCAGGUAGCCUAGUGGUUAGAGUGUAGAGGUGGCAGGUAGGCUAGUGGUUAGAGUGUAGAGGAGGCAGGGUAGCCUAGUGGUUAGAGUGUAGAGGUGGCAGGUAGCCUAGUGGUUAGAGUGUAGAGGUGGCAGGGUAGCCUAGUGGUUAGAGUGUAGAGGAGGCAGGGUAGCCUAGUGGUUAGAGUGUAGAGGUGGCAGGGUAGCCUAGUGGUUAGAGUGUAGAGGAGGCAGGGUAGCCUAGUGGUUAGAGUGUAGAGGUGGCAGGGUAGCCUAGUGGUUAGAGUGUAGAGGAGGCAGGGUAGCCUAGUGGUUAGAGUGUAGAGGCGGCAGGGUAGCCUAGUGGUUAGAGUGUAGAGGAGGCAGGUAGCCUAGUGGUUAGAGUGUAGAGGUGGCAGGGUAGCCUAGUGGUUAGAGUGUAGAGGAGGCAGGGUAGCCUAGUGGUUAGAGUGUAGAGGUGGCAGGGUAGCCUAGUGGUUAGAGUGUAGAGGAGGCAGGUAGCCUAGUGGUUAGAGUGUAGAGGAGGCAGGUAGCCUAGUGGUUAGAGUGUAGAGGCGGCAGGUAGCCUAGUGGUUAGAGUGUAGAGGUGGCAGGUAGUCUAGUGGUUAGAGUGUAGAGGAGGCAGGGUAGCCUAGUAGUUAGAGUGUAGAGGAGGCAGGGUAGCCUAAUGGUUAGAGUGUAGAGGUGGCAGGUAGUCUAGUGGUUAGAGUGUAGAGGAGGCAGGUAGUCUAGUGGUUAGAGUGUAGAGGAGGCAGGUAGCCUAGUGUUUAGA